rnacentral:rRNA from 1 species
AUUGAACGCUGGCGGCAGGCCUAACACAUGCAAGUCGAACGAGCGGCGGACGGGUGAGUAAUGACUGGGAAACUGCCUGAUGGAGGGGGAUCACUACUGGAAACGGUAGCUUAUACCGCAUACCAUCAGAUGUGCCCAGAUGGGUUUGGCUAGUUGGUGGGGUAACGGCUCACCAAGGCGACGAUCCCUAGCUGGUCUGAGAGGAUGACCAGCCACACUGGAACAGAGACACGGUCCAGAGUCCUACGAGAGGCAGCAGGGGGGAAUAUUGCACAAUGGGCGCAAGCCUGAUGCAGCCAGGCCGCGUGUAUGAAGAAGGCCUUCGGGUUGUAAAGUACUUUCAGCGGGUAGGCGUUACCCGCAGAAGAAGCACCGGCUAACUACGUGCCAGCAGCCGCGGUAAUUC